rnacentral:rRNA from 1 species
GAUGAACGCUGGCGGCGUGCUUAACACAUGCAAGUCGAACGAAGCACUUUGAUCGAUUUCUUCGGAUUGAAAUUUUAGUGACUGAGUGGCGGACGGGUGAGUAACGCGUGGGUAACCUGCCUCACACAGGGGGAUAACAGUUGGAAACGGCUGCUAAUACCGCAUAAGCGCACAGUACCGCAUGGUACAGUGUGAAAAACUCCGGUGGUGUGAGAUGGACCCGCGUCUGAUUAGCUAGUUGGCAGGGCAACGGCCUACCAAGGCGACGAUCAGUAGCCGACCUGAGAGGGUGACCGGCCACAUUGGGACUGAGACACGGCCCAAACUCCUACGGGAGGCAGCAGUGGGGAAUAUUGCACAAUGGGGGAAACCCUGAUGCAGCGACGCCGCGUGAGCGAAGAAGUAUUUCGGUAUGUAAAGCUCUAUCGGCAGGGAAGAAGAAAUGACGGUACCUGACUAAGAAGCACCGGCUA